rnacentral:rRNA from 1 species
AUUGAACGCUGGCGGCAUGCCUUACACAUGCAAGUCGAACGGUAACGCGGGGCAACCUGGCGACGAGUGGCGAACGGGUGAGUAAUGUAUCGGAACGUGCCCAGUUGUGGGGGAUAACUGCUCGGAAGAGCAGCUAAUACCGCAUACGACCUGAGGGUGAAAGCGGGGGAUCGCAAGACCUCGCGCAAUUGGAGCGGCCGAUAUCAGAUUAGGUAGUUGGUGGGGUAAAGGCUCACCAAGCCAACGAUCUGUAGCUGGUCUGAGAGGACGACCAGCCGCACUGGUACUGAGACACGGCCCAGACUCCUACGGGAGGCAGCAGUGGGGAAUUUUGGACAAUGGACGCAAGUCUGAUCCAGCCAUGCCGCGUGCGGGAAGAGGGCCUUCGGGUUGUAAACCGCUUUUGUCAGGGAAGAAACGCUCUGGGUUAAUACCUCGGGGUAAUGACGGUACCUGAAGAAUAAGCACCGGCUAACUACGUGCCAGCCGCCGCCGUAA